AUGGACGCUAGCGGCAGGCUUAAUACAUGCAAGUUGAGGGGCAGCAUGAUAUACGCGAGUAUAUUGAUGGCGACCGGCGGACGGGUGAGUAAUAGGUAGGAGACCUACCUCAUACAGGGGGAUAGCAUAGAGAAAUCUGUGGUAAUACCCCAUGAGGUUAUAUGAAUAGAGGCAUAUAAUCAAAGCAUAAGCGAUUAUGCGGUAUGAGAGGGGCCUACUGACCAUUAGCUAGUUGGUGAGGUAAGGGCUCACCAAGGCGAAGAUGGUUAGGGGUUUUGAGAGAGAGACCCCCCACAUUGGAACUGAGAGACGGUCCAGACUCCUACGGGAGGCAGCAGUAGGGAAUAUUGGGCAAUGGGCGAAAGCCUGACCCAGCCAUGCCGCGUGAAGGAAGACGGCCUUAUGGGUUGUAAACUUCUUUACUACGCGAAUAGAGGUUAGUACGAGAUACUAAUAGGAAGGUAGUGUAGUAAAAAGCACCGGCUAACUCCGUG
rnacentral:rRNA from 1 species